rnacentral:rRNA from 1 species
CUUGACGGAUUUCUUCGGAUUGAAGCCUUGGUGACUGAGCGGCGGACGGGUGAGUAACGCGUGGGUAACCUGCCUCAUACAGGGGGAUAACAGUUGGAAACGGCUGCUAAUACCGCAUAAGCGCACAGUACCGCAUGGUACGGUGUGAAAAACUCCGGUGGUAUGAGAUGGACCCGCGUCUGAUUAGGUAGUUGGUGGGGUAACGGCCUACCAAGCCGACGAUCAGUAGCCGACCUGAGAGGGUGACCGGCCACAUUGGGACUGAGACACGGCCCAAACUCCUACGGGAGGCAGCAGUGGGGAAUAUUGCACAAUGGGGGAAACCCUGAUGCAGCGACGCCGCGUGAGCGAUGAAGUAUUUCGGUAUGUAAAGCUCUAUCAGCAGGGAAGAAAAUGACGGUACCUGACUAAGAAGCCCCGGCUAACUACGUGCCAGCAGCCGCGGUAAUACGUAGGGGGCAAGCGUUAUCCGGAUUUACUGGGUGUAAAGGGAGCGUAGACGGCAUGGCAAGCCAGAUGUGAAAGCCCGGGGCUCAACCCCGGGACUGCAUUUGGAACUGUCAGGCUAGAGUGUCGGAGAGGAAAGCGGAAUUCCUAGUGUAGCGGUGAAAUGCGUAGAUAUUAGGAGGAACACCAGUGGCGAAGGCGGCUUUCUGGACGGUGACUGACGUUGAGGCUCGAAAGCGUGGGGAGCAAACAGG